rnacentral:lncRNA from 1 species
AUCAAAACCAAUGUGGCUUAGUAGAGAAGUAAAACAAGAGAUUAAAAAUAAGAAAAGGGCAUUUAAAGCAUUUAAAUCGGACAAAUCAGAUGCAUCUUAUAAAAGAUAUAAGGAAGCAAAUAAUGCGUGCAAAGAGGCAAUUAGACUUGCUAAACUUCAAAAUGAAAAAAUGAUAGCUAAAGAGAGCAAAACCAACCCCAAAGCUUUUUUUAAGUACA